CCAGGGGAGCGAACGGGAUUAGAUACCCCGGUAGUCCUGGUCGUAAACGAUGGGUACUAGGUGUAGGAGGUAUCGACCCCUUCUGUGCCGGAGUUAACGCAAUAAGUACCCCGCCUGGGGAGUACGACCGCAAGGUUGAAACUCAAAGGAAUUGACGGGGGCCCGCACAAGCGGUGGAGUAUGUGGUUUAAUUCGACGCAACGCGAAGAACCUUACCAGGUCUUGACAUUGAUGGACAGAACCAGAGAUGGUUCCUCUUCUUCGGAAGCCAGAAAACAGGUGGUGCACGGUUGUCGUCAGCUCGUGUCGUGAGAUGUUGGGUUAAGUCCCGCAACGAGCGCAACCCCUAUCUUAUGUUGCCAGCACUUUGGGUGGGGACUCAUGAGAGACUGCCGCAGACAAUGCGGAGGAAGGCGGGGAUGACGUCAAAUCAUCAUGCCCCUUAUGACCUGGGCUACACACGUACUACAAUGGGAGUUAAUAGACGGAAGCGAGAUCGCGAGAUGGAGCAAACCCGAGAAGCACUCUCUCAGUUCGGAUCGUAGGCUGCAACUCGCCUACGUGAAGUCGGAAUCGCUAGUAAUCGCAGGUCAGCAUACUGCGGUGAAUACGUUCCCGGGCCUUGUACACACCGCCCGUCACACCACGAAAGUCGGAAGUGCCCAAAGCCGGUGGGGUAACCUUCGGGAGCCAGCCGUCUAAGGUAAAGUCGAUGAUUGGGGUGAAGUCGUAACAAGGUAGCCGUAUCGGAAGG
rnacentral:rRNA from 1 species